rnacentral:rRNA from 1 species
CACGUAGGCACCAAGCGUUGUCCGGAUUUAUUGGGCGUAAAGGGCUCGUAGGCGGUUCGGUAAGUCGGGUGUGAAAACUCUGGGCUCAACCCAGAGCCGCCACCCGAUACUGCUGUGACUCGAGUGCGGUAGGGGAGAUUGGAAUUCCUGGUGUAGCGGUGGAAUGCGCAGAUAUCAGGAGGAACACCGAUGGCGAAGGCAGAUCUCUGGGCCGUAACUGACGCUGAGGAGCGAAAGCGUGGGGAGCGAACAGG